GUAUCUCUGAUUCUAACAUGGUAUCGAGAGCAUCGUUCGAUCCACCUUGAACCACUCGUCACUUCCGCAGUUGAAUUCCCAAAAGUUUGGGAAUUAUAGUUAUAUGUUUUUCGGGUCAUGUGGUUCUGUUGAAAUUGGUGAAUAUGGUUUUGGUCAAUUCUAUUUCGGUUUCAUUGUUGUUUGGUAUGGUACUUUUCUUUUACUGGCUUUUUCAUUGGUAUAUGUUUCUUUGGUCAAAAUUUGAUUCAUAUGGUUGAAUAACAUAAUUGAAAAUUAGGAGCAAGUGUUGUUCUAAUAUAUUGGUAUGAUGUGGGUACAGUGGCAAAUUGUUUGCUGUUGAUUUGGUUUCAAUUUGAUUGGUAUGGCACGGAAUUAAAAAAAUAAUAAUAAUUGGGUCUUGUGU
rnacentral:lncRNA from 1 species